GCGAAUCGCCCUUCGGGGUGCAGCAGGCGCGAAAACUUUACAAUGCGGGAAACCGUGAUAAGGGGACACCGAGUGCCAGCAUCAUAUGCUGGCCGUCCAGGUGUGUAAAAUACACCUGUUAGCAAGGGCCGGGCAAGACCGGUGCCAGCCGCCGCGGUAACACCGGCGGCCCGAGUGGUGAUCGUGAUUAUUGGGUCUAAAGGGUCCGUAGCCGGUUUGGUCAGUCCUCCGGGAAAUCUGAUGGCUCAACCAUUAGGCUUUCGGGGGAUACUGCCAGGCUUGGAACCGGGAGAGGUAAGAGGUACUACAGGGGUAGGAGUGAAAUCUUGUAAUCCCUGUGGGACCACCUGUGGCGAAGGCGUCUUACCAGAACGGGUUCGACGGUGAGGGACGAAAGCUGGGGGCACGAACCGGAUUAGAUACCCGGGUAGUCCCAGCCGUAAACGAUGCUCGCUAGGUGUCAGGCAUGGCGCGACCGUGUCUGGUGCCGCAGGGAAGCCGUGAAGCGAGCCACCUGGGAAGUACGGCCGCAAGGCUGAAACUUAAAGGAAUUGGCGGGGGAGCAC
rnacentral:rRNA from 1 species